ACAGAGGGUGCGAGCGUUGUUCGGAAUUAUUGGGCGUAAAGCGCUUGUAGGCGGCACGAUAAGUCUACUGUGAAAGCCCUAGGCUCAACCUAGGAAGAGCAGUAGAUACUGUCGAGCUUGAAUGCCGGAGAGGGUCGCGGAAUUCCCGGUGUAGAGGUGAAAUUCGUAGAUAUCGGGAGGAACACCAGUGGCGAAGGCGGCGACCUGGACGGACAUUGACGCUGAGACGCGAAAGCGUGGGGAGCAAACAGGAUUAGAUACCCUGGUAGUCCACGCUGUAAACGAUGGGUGCUAGGUGUGGCGGGUGUUGACCCCUGCCGUGCCGCAGCUAACGCAAUAAGCACCCCGCCUGGGAAGUACGGCCGCAAGGCUA
rnacentral:rRNA from 1 species